rnacentral:rRNA from 1 species
GACGAACGCUGGCGGCGUGCUUAACACAUGCAAGUCGAACGGAAAGGCCCUGCUUUUGUGGGGUGCUCGAGUGGCGAACGGGUGAGUAACACGUGAGUAACCUGCCCUUGACUUUGGGAUAACUUCAGGAAACUGGGGCUAAUACCGGAUAGGAGCUCCUGCUGCAUGGUGGGGGUUGGAAAGUUUCGGCGGUUGGGGAUGGACUCGCGGCUUAUCAGCUUGUUGGUGGGGUAGUGGCUUACCAAGGCUUUGACGGGUAGCCGGCCUGAGAGGGUGACCGGCCACAAUGGGGCUUGAGAUACGCCCAAGCUCCUUCGGGGAGGAAGAGGUGGGGAUUAUUGAACAUUGGGGGAAAGCUUGAUCAAGAAACGCGGGGUGCGGAAGGCGGGCUUCGGGGUGGUAACCGGUUUUGGCUUGUGCGGAGGGGGGAGUGCGGGUAAUGGUAAAAGAAGACCCGGUUACUUCGGU